AGGAGGAAGGAGAUGAGAAUAGAGAGGCUGCCAGGCCAGAUCAGUGAAGAGUUUUGCCUGUCUUGUUAAGGAGUUUCUCCUUUAUCCCACUGGCCAUGGAAAAGAGCAGGUUGCAGAUAUCUUAACUAGGAGUGCUCCCAUGACGACAUAAUCAAGAUUAUACAUGUCAAGAUUUCAAGGAACAGAACUGGCAAACAUUUAAGGCUAAAAAUGUCACACAGAAAAAAUACGUUUCCGCAUUUGCUCAAAAGAAUGCACCACCAAAGAUCACCAUUUACUGGGGCUGGCCCCGUGGCCGAGUGGUUAAGUUCGCACGCUCUGCUGCAGGCGGCCCAGUGUUUCGUUGGUUCGAAUCCUGGGCGCGGACAUGGCACUGCUCAUCAGACCACGCUGAGGCGGCAUCCCACAUGCCACAAU
rnacentral:lncRNA from 1 species